CCUCAAACCUUGUCCUGCACUGAAAACAAGCCUCUGAACACAUCAACUCAUGCCUCAUACCAUUCAAUCACCUCUGUGAUCCCUUCCCAACACUCUGAUUCUACAGGGACGAAAGCAGAACGACAGACUGAAAAAGCUACAAAUCGAAGCUGCAAGCCCAGGUGGCAAGGAACACUAACCAAACUAUUGACUGAGCAAAGGAGAUACAACCCACCAAUGCAAGUAUGAAGGAAAAGACUGAAGAAGUUGACCUGUCGACUAUUCUGAAUGAGAUGGCUGUGACAUGGCAGAUGGUGCUGAAGUGUGUCUGGAG
rnacentral:lncRNA from 1 species